AUGGACCUCGUGGGCAGGAACAGGCAUCAGCACUGGUUCCUCCUCUUUCUGGUGGCAGCUCCAGGAUCAUCUGGAUUUACCUUUAGUGACUACUGGAUGAACUGGGUCCGCCAGACUCCAGGGAAGGGCCUGGAGUGGAUUUCAGACAUUAGUGCUAGUGGUGACACUAUAAGUCUUCAUCAUGGACUGGACUGGAGAAUUCUCUUCCUGGUGACAGAGGCUGCAGGUGUGAACUCCCAGGUGCAGCUAGUGCAGUCAGGGGCUGAGGUGGGAAAACCUGGGACAUCAGUGAAGAUCUCCUGCAAGGCGUCCGGAUACACCUUCACGGGCUACUUGAUGAGCUGGGUGCGGCAGGCCCUGGGACAAGGGCUCAAGUGGAUGGGAUACAUAAAUCCUUACUAUGAUAACACAAACUAUGCACCAAAGUUCCAGGGCAGACUCAAACUUACUGCAGACAAGUCCAAGAACACAGCCUACAUGGAACUGAGCAGGCUGAGCACUGAGGACACUGCCGUGUAUUUUUGUGCAAGAGACACAGUGUGA